UGGAACAGCUAGCUCUCUGCAAGUCUCACAUAGUCCCCCUACUGAAGCUAAGCAGGGCUGCGCCCGGUCAGUACCUGAAUGGGAGACCACAUGGGAAAGCUAGGUUGCUGCUGGAA
ensembl:rRNA 5S_rRNA 5S ribosomal RNA